rnacentral:rRNA from 1 species
AUACGGAGGGUGCGAGCGUUAAUCGGAAUUACUGGGCGUAAAGGGUGCGUAGGCGGCUUGAUAAGUCGGAUGUGAAAGCCCCGGGCUUAACCUGGGAAUUGCAUUCGAUACUGUCAGGCUAGAGUAUGUCAGAGGUUGGCGGAAUUCCUGGUGUAGCGGUGAAAUGCGUAGAUAUCAGGAGGAACACCAGUGGCGAAGGCGGCUAACUGGGACAAUACUGACGCUGAGGCACGAAAGCGUGGGGAGCAAACAGGAGUAGAAGCCCUAGUAGUCC